rnacentral:tRNA from 1 species
UAGGUAGAUAGCUUAAUCGGUAAAGCAGUCCCGCUGAAAGGAAAGAUGGUGGUUCAAUUCCACCUCUACCAAU